GUGUCAGCCGCCGCGGUAAUACGUAGGGGUCUAGCGUUGUCCGGAAUCAUUGGGCGUAAAGAGCUCGUAGGCGGUUCGGCAAGUCGGAUGUGAAAUCUCCACGCUCAACGUGGAGGGGCCAUUCGAAACUGCCGUGACUCGAGUCCGGUAGGGGAGUGCGGAAUUCCCGGUGUAGCGGUGAAAUGCGCAGAUAUCGGGAGGAACACCAGUGGCGAAGGCGGCACUCUGGGCCGGAACUGACGCUGAGGAGCGAAAGCGUGGGGAGCGAACAGGAUUAGAUACCCUGGUAGUCC
rnacentral:rRNA from 1 species